CGGAGUCUUCCCCCGAGCGGACGAGGACGAGGACAAGGAGGAUGACUUCCGGGCCCCACUGUACAAGAACGUGGAUGUGCGGGGCAUCCAGGUCCGCAUGAAGUGGUGUGCAACAUGCCACUUCUACCGUCCGCCGCGCUGCUCACACUGCAGCGUCUGCGACAACUGUGUGGAGGUGACCGCCCCCCCGCCCUUCCCCUCCUCUCCCCCGUGCCCAGGCCCUACUGCCGCCUUCCGCGCGUUCUGACAGCACUGCCCCUGCCAGGACUUUGACCACCACUGCCCCUGGGUGAACAACUGCAUCGGACGCCGUAACUACCGUUACUUCUUCCUGUUCCUGCUGUCACUCAGCGCACACAUGGUGGGGGUGGUGGCCUUC
rnacentral:lncRNA from 1 species